AGAAUCAACGCUGGCGGCGUGCCUAACACAUGCAAGUCGAACGCGGUUACCUCGCAAGAGGUAACUGAGUGGCGAACGGGUGAGUAACACGUGGGUGACCUACCUUCGAAUGGGGAUAACGUCCCGAAAGGGACGCUAAUACCGCAUAACAUCCUGCCUUUGAACAGGUGGAGAUCAAGGCCGGGGAUCGCAAGACCUGGCGUUUGAAGAGGGGCCCGCGUCUGAUUAGCUAGUUGGUGAGGUAACGGCUCACCAAGGCGACGAUCAGUA
rnacentral:rRNA from 1 species